CAAUAAGCGGAGGAAAAGAAACCAACAGGGAUUGCCCCAGUAACGGCGAGUGAAGCGGCAACAGCUCAAAUUUGAAAUCUGGCCCCCCGCGGGCCCGAGUUGUACUUUGGAGAGGACGCUUCUGGCGCGGCGCCGUCCGAGUUCCCUGGAACGGGACGCCGGAGAGGGUGAGAGCCCCGUACGGGCGGCCGCCUAGCCUCUGCGAAGCUCCUUCGACGAGUCGAGUAGUUUGGGAAUGCUGCUCAAAAUGGGAGGUAAAUUUCUUCUAAAGCUAAAUACCGGCCAGAGACCGAUAGCGCACAAGUAGAGUGAUCGAAAGAUGAAAAGCACUUUGAAAAGAGGGUCAAACAGUACGUGAAAUUGUUGAAAGGGAAGCGCCUGUGGCCAGACUUGCGCCCCGCGGACCACCCGGCGCCUCGCGCGCCGGGGCACGCCAGCGGGGCGCAGGCCAGCAUCGGCUCUCUCGGGGGGACAAAGGCCGCGGGAACGUAGCGCCCUCGCGGCGUAUUAUAGCCCGCGGCGCCAUGCCCCCGGGGGGGCCGAGG
rnacentral:rRNA from 1 species